CUCAAAACUCUGGAGACUGAAGAACAAGAAGAAGAAACAUCAAAA
rnacentral:sRNA from 1 species